rnacentral:piRNA from 1 species
UCCAGUUUUCAUUUUGUGCUCUGGCC